rnacentral:sRNA from 1 species
UAGCGAUAAAUUCCCGGUCACACUGCUCUCACGACUAAAUCGUGUUUUUUUUUGUUUUAAAAUACGAAUUUGGUGUUAAUUUUGCACUGCAUUUGACUCUGCUGCUGUUCGUUAAUUCGUUAAUUUGGGCUUGUAAUUCGUUUAGUUUUCCCCAGAGCAGCAUAAUAUUUGUGCCAGCAGUGAGCCGGUCUUGUGAUUGUAUCUCUGUGUUUGUUUGAACGCGCAAAAAGUCUUAAGCAGCAGAAAAGGCGGCAAAAGAGAAGCAAAGAACUAAACCAAACCAGUACCGCUGUUGGCAAGGCGAAGCUGCAGCAAAAAAAAAAAAACUGCAACGGCAAACAUAAUUAUUUUCGCAACGCGCUGAGCGUGUGUCGGUGUGCAGCUCAAAAACAUCGACACUCGGACGCACACCUUGGCGUUUUCGCGCCCAGUUUUGUCUUUUGGCACCGAAGACCAGCCGACGGGAAUAAACUGCAAUACAGCUUCGCCAAAGAGAGUGUCACUUUGAUUUUGGCCAUGACAGCCACGCCUCCCUCCGGCCACAAUCCAAAUUAUGCAAAUUCAUGCAUUGCACACGCACACACAGACAACAUAACAGACACACAGGCAGCUGCCGCUGCCGCUGCCGCUGCGGCGUCGACGGAGACGUCGAAGCCAGCGAAGGCGGAAGCGAACGCCGACAGCAGAUUUGGCGUUCUGUUUUGUUGUGUCGUCGUGUACAAUUUGAUACAUUCGGUUAAUAAAUAAUUACAAAUAGUUCAAAUGUA